CAGCAAUCAAGUUGACUCUAGUGAGUUAAACAUUAUUUUUCCUUUGAUGGGAAGAAUGAUUGCAGACCUGGUGUUUAACAGAGCUGAUUGCCGAAAAAGGAUUCAUAUAGCCGACCCCAACUAGUUUAGGAUUAAGGCUUAUCUUUGAAGGUGCACACUUAUCUUUGAAGGCCAAACAGCAGAAAUAUUAUUUAAUAUUUAGUUAUCUUUAAUCAACAUCCAACCAACAUUAACAGCUGAUUAAUAGCUUUUGUAUCACCUAUACAUCUUUUGUAAAAUUUUGUGCUUAAUUGAGUGUUAUUCAAUACUUAUUAUCUUUCCGGGGUUUGUGAAGUGUACAAGGUGACAAAGAAACAGUAAGGAUGGCAAUAGGUAGGGUACCCGCGAAAAUCAUCAUACUUGAAUUCAAACUUGAUUAAUAUUCUCAAAAUCUGAACCCAUCCCAAACUCGAUUAAAAUUUAUUCUUAACUAUCCAAAUCUGUCCCAAAAUCGAUUAUUAUUACCCGAAAAUACUCAAACCUGUUUGAUUUUAUAUAUUUUAAUUAAUAAUCUGCAUAAAAAAUUAUUUUUUUAUCAAUAAUUUAUAUUUUGAAAAUCUAAUAAUUUCAUAAAAUAUUUAAAUUCAAUUUUAUAUAAAAUAAAAAAUAUAAAAAUUUUUAACUAUUAUUAUAAAAAAUAUAUAUUUUAUAUUUAAUUAAAUAUUUAUAUAAACGAGUUCGGGUAACGGAUACCCAACAUGCAAAACUGGAACCCGUUACGGUAUGAUUCUUUAAACCUAAACUAGUUUCAAAUCCGAUUAUAUACUAGCCAAACCUAUCCUAUUAGGGUUCGGUCGGGUUGAGUACCCACAAAAAUCCGACACGUUGCCAUCCCUAAGAAAGAGGCUAAGACCAAAUGCUUAUGUUGUUACCUUAAAUAGAUUUGAGUGAAGAAGAUUUAGUUUAUGUUCAAUGCAUUUGAUGAAAUAUAUGUUGCAUUCAAUAUUGAUGUAAAAUGACUUAGAAAAACUUGACUUUUAGUGGGUAGGGCCAGGGUUUGUAGAACUCAAGAAUUAGGGCUUUAAAGUAACCUGGCAGAUCUGAUUUCCUUCAGAACCAGUAGGGGUUGUGGUUGGGGUGUGGGUCUGGUGUGGAAGGGGGGAAUACCAGCCCCACAACAACAGCAGGAUUAGAAAGAAAAAAUAAAAAAAAAAGGGCUUAGUUUCUGGGAUUUUAAUUCCAAAUCUUUACUUAGACUUCUAUUUGAUUUGGACAUUCUGAGGAAAGACGGCCUUUAUUUUACAUUUUUUCUUACUAGGAUUAUUAAUACAACAGACUCCUUUGUUUGACUAGGAUUUUUUUUUAUACAACUCAAAACAAAAGUUAGUUUAGGAACCCUAAAACUAGUACUGAACUGACAAAAUUACAGAAAUGCCCCUGCUGAAUGUGCACUGUUGAAUCCUACAGAAGUAAUUAAUCCAAUUUCCAUAUGGAGUUCCCUUAUUGUCUGCGUCAAAAAUGCAAAUAUGUUUUUCCUUUCCUGUGGAGCUAUACUUCCUCAAGUGUUAGUGAACCUGAGGUUUUGGUGGUGUCAAAGUGCAAAAGUUCCAUUUAGAAUUUUUUGGGAUUUCAGAAUAAGGUAUACCUCAAAUAUUUGAAGUUUAAGAGAAUGUCAUAAAUGUCUAUCCCCCUCUCCACUUUACCAUGCAUUAUCUGAUAAAUCUUUUGGAGCAUCAUUUAAGCUUCCAAUUCUUUACAGGCAUGAAAGAGCAAACUAAUUUACCAUUGUUUUACUUCUCUUUUAAACCAUAUAGCUUUUACAAUUAAUUUCAGUCAUCAUACAAGCAAAAGUGGUUCAAGCAAUGUGCAGGAAAAUUUUGGUGAAUCAACUUUAUUUUACUUGUCCAAUUUCAUUGCUUCCUUAAUUGUAGCACACAUGAUUGAUUUGUGCAUGUUUUUGUUGUUUGUUUGUGGGUAUAUGUAUCUUGUCUAUUAAUAUUAAUUUAUAGCUUGGAUGGCUAUAUCUGUUUCACCUUCGACUGGAUUCCUUCUGGGUGUCAUGUAGCUUGCGUGGACUUGCUAUAACUUCUACCAAUCAACACCUACAAAAUUGGCUGGAGAAAACUAUUUCUUUCAUGAUGGACGGGUUUGAUCUCUCUCCUAAUAUAGAAAGUGAUUUUAAAUAUUGUGUGCUUGGCAUUGAAAGAUUAUAAAAAUUGUAGGACAUGAGUGUUGGGACAUCAUGGAACAUUUUGAGGCCUGAAACGGUUGAGUCGCUCUUUUACCUCUGGCGUUUAACUGGGAACAAGACAUACCAAGAAUGGGGUUGGAAUAUUUUCCAAGCAUUUGAAAGGAACUCUCGCAUAGAGACAGGAUAUGUUGGACUCAAGGAUGUGAAUACAGGUGUCAAAGACAACAUGAUGCAGAGCUUCUUCCUUGCCGAGACACUUAAAUAUCUCUACCUGCUGUUUUCGCCUUCGUCUGUCAUCUCUCUGGAUGAAUGGGUGUUUAACACCGAAGCCCACCCCUUGAGAAUCGUGACUCGUGAUGAGAACACUCAGUUUGACAGAAAACAGGAUUUGCCAACCCGGUUUCGCGGUAGGAAGGAGGGUCGAUCAGGAUACAAUUAGUUUACGUCCUCUCAAAAUUUUGGGUUAAGCUACAUUGCUUCUUUUUUAGAAUGCUCAUGGUUUAAGCUCAAAUUCAGGAUAAUUCAGGUCUCCCAUCCCAUCAAGGUUGGUGGCUGCUACCACAUUGAGGAUUCAUUUCAACCUAAUUUAAGCAAGGCAGGCAGGUCUGAACUCUUGGGGAUGUCUUUUAAUUCGAACUCGAAUGAGCAUGUAGUAAUAGUAGUUGAGUAUUAGUUGUGAGAUUUUAAACAAACGAAGGUUGUCGUCUGUAACUAAUUUUUAUGCCUCUUAACAAAGCACAAAUAUAUGAAUCUAAUUUUGCAGAUUUGAGCUCUUAAAUUGUGUUUCGAUGGAGAAUUUGAAAAUCUUUUUCCUUUUGUCCACGGUCUCAAACAUAGCUGAAUA
rnacentral:misc_RNA from 1 species